UACGUAGGAGGCGAGCGUUGUCCGGAAUUAUUGGGCGUAAAGAGCUCGUAGGCGGUUUGUCGCGUCGACUGUGAAAACCUACAGCUUAACUGUGGCUUGCAGUCGAUACGGGCAGACUUGAGUUCGGUAGGGGAGACUGGAAUUCCUGGUGUAGCGGUGAAAUGCGCAGAUAUCAGGAGGAACACCGGUGGCGAAGGCGGGUCUCUGGGCCGAUACUGACGCUGAGGAGCGAAAGCGUGGGGAGCGAACAGG
rnacentral:rRNA from 1 species